rnacentral:rRNA from 1 species
UUAGAGUUUGAUCCUGGCUCAGGAUGAACGCUAGCGGGAGGCCUAACACAUGCAAGCCGAGCGGUAUUGUUUCUUCGGAAAUGAGAGAGCGGCGUACGGGUGCGGAACACGUGUGCAACCUGCCUUUAUCUGGGGGAUAGCCUUUCGAAAGGAAGAUUAAUACUCCAUAACAUAUUGAUUGGCAUCAAUUAAUAUUGAAAGCUCCGGCGGAUAGAGAUGGGCACGCGCAAGAUUAGCUAGUUGGUGAGGUAACGGCUCACCAAGGCGAUGAUCUUUAGGGGGCCUGAGAGGGUGAUCCCCCACACUGGUACUGAGACACGGA